CACGUAGGGGGCAAGCGUUGUCCGGAUUUAUUGGGCGUAAAGAGCUCGUAGGUGGUUCGGUAAGUCAGGUGUGAAACCUCCAGGCUCAACCUGGAGACGCCACUUGAUACUGCUGUGACUGGAGUCCGGUAGGGGAGCGUGGAAUUCCUGGUGUAGCGGUGAAAUGCGCAGAUAUCAGGAAGAACACCCGUGGCGAAGGCGGCUCUCUGGGACGGUACUGACGCUGAGACGCGAAAGCGUGGGGAGCGAACAGG
rnacentral:rRNA from 1 species